GCGUCUGAUUAGCUAGUUGGUGAGGCACAUUUAUUGGUGCUGACCAAUAAGUGCCGGUUUGCCCAAGGAGGGGCUCGCGUCUGAUUAGCUAGCAAUAAGUGCCGGUUUGCCCAAGGAGAGGCUCGCGUCUGAUUAGCUAGUUGGUGAGGCAAUAGCUUACCAAGACGAUGAUCAGUAGCUGGUCCGAGAGGAUGAUCAGCCACACUGGGACUGAGACAUGGCCCAGAUUCCUACGGGAGGCAGCAGUGGGGAAUUUUCCGCAAUUCCAACCGGCAC
rnacentral:ncRNA from 1 species